rnacentral:rRNA from 1 species
AAAGGUUGACCUCGGAUCAGGUAGGAAUACCCGCUGAACUUAAGCAUAUCAA